rnacentral:rRNA from 1 species
AAUAGAUACCCUGGUAGUCUUGGCCCUAAACUAUGUUCACUAGGUGUCGGGGGUUUCCUUCGGUGCCGCAGCUAACGCAUUAAGUGAACCGCCUGGGGACUACGGCCGCAAGGUUGAAACUCAAAGGAAUUGGCGGGGCCCGCACAAGCGGUGGAGCAUGUGGCUUAAUUCGAUGCAACGCGAAGAACCUUACCAGGGCUUGACAUGGUACUGCAAGCUGCCGAAAAGCAGUCGCUUUCGAAGGUGUAUCACAGGUGGUGCAUGGCUGUCGUCAGCUCGUGUUGUGAAAUGUUGGGUUAAGUCCCGCAACGAGCGCAACCCUCAUGUUCUGUUGCCAGCGAGUAAUGUCGGGAACUCGGAACAAACUGCCUCUGUAAGGAGGAGGAAGGUGGGGAUGACGUCAAGUCAUCAUGCCCCUUACGCCCUGGGCUGCACACAUGCUACAAUGGCCGGUACAAAGAGCUGCGAACUCGCGAGAGUAAGCUAAAUCUCAAAAAAGCCGGUCUCAGUUCGGA